UACGUAGGGGGCAAGCGUUGUCCGGAUUUAUUGGGCGUAAAGAGCGUGUAGGCGGUUUGGUAGGUCCGCUGUGAAAACUCGAGGCUCAACCUCGAGACGCCGGUGGAAACCAUCAGACUAGAGUCCGGAAGAGGAGAGUGGAAUUCCUGGUGUAGCGGCGAAAUGCGCAGAUAUCAGGAGGAACACCGGUGGCGAAGGCGGGUCUCUGGGCAGUAACUGACGCUGAGGAGCGAAAGCGUGGGGAGCGAACAGG
rnacentral:rRNA from 1 species